GACAGCUUUUCGUUUUCCAAAAAAAAAAAAACAAACUCUCUAAUAGCGAUUGAACCAACAAACGAUAUGUGUCUUCCACGAAUCGACUCAGUCUCAUCUCCAAGGUUACCCAUUGUUACUCUUAUUUUCUUCAUCCUUGACAGAGAGGUGACUCGAAUCAAUUCUUACAGAAAGCUUCUUUUUUUUUGCAUGUCUCUCCGAUGGCUUAAAUAUAAUCGAAGUUCAAAUCGUGGUGAGCUGAUUCAACAGACAAAAAACUCCAAAGGUUUGUCUUCAUGUUCGUAAAUCCACCAUUAAUAACAGGUUUCAUUCGUCAGAAGAAAUAAAAGAACAUUUUUUUCUUAACUGCUGGUUCCUCUUGGUUAAACAGAAGAAGAUGGAAUCUCCGAAAGUAUAUCUCCAUCCGAUCCGUAAAAGUUGGGUCCGAUGAUUUUCUUUCUUAUUCCGAUGAGAUGGGAACUUGUUGCGAUGACAGUAAAAUGGAACUUUAAAGUGUAAGCCGUACAAACAUAAAGGUGUGGUGACUUUGGCUUCGACCAACCCGUCUUCCAUGGCCUAAUCUCAUCAAGGUAAACCAUCUUUUACUUGGAAGACAUAUUAUGAGAAACGUUUUGAGAAAAUGUGUGUUGCUUUGAGGUUAAAAGACAGUAUAUAUAAGAAAAAUAAAGGUCGUGGAUUUAGGUUUUCCUAUUCAAUACAGUUAGAGAAUAUAUGCAGUUAGUUUAGUAAAUUAAUGGGAAAUUAGAUUUUUGGGUAUAUUAUAAUAGAUAUUUUCGUUACCAAAAUUCAUGAUUUCUUGUUUUGAUUUUCUCUUAUUGAUAUGUUGAAGAUAUGCAAGUACAAUGAUUGGCCGGAUAUUUAUGAUUUAGUUAUUCUUAUUGUUUUGUAUAUAUAUUUUUCCAAAUGAAUUUACUUGCCGAUUUUUUUGCUUUUGGUUAUGUAUAUAUCUUAUUUUUUAAUAAUUGCAUUUGAAACAGAUUUGCAAAUACAAUAAUUUGGCCAGUAUGUUUCAAAGUGGUUUAAUCCCGUAUUUUUCUCAAAAUAUGGGUAUUUUGUAUAGAAAAAGUUUAUUCCAUAGAUGGUACUUUUAAACCCAAUUGUUAGUUUUUCUACUUAAUAUUAAUAAAUAAAUUCAUGAAAUAAAUAUAAAAAAUGGGGUUUAGGGGUUCUUCUGUAUCUCAAUCUAUACAUCUAAAAAUGCAACCAUACAAAUAUAUAAACAUGAGUAUUUCAACCAUUCAUAACGCCGACCAUACAUAUAUUGUUUAAUGGUGAAGCUUGCACCAAAUUGAAUUCUGGUAGUAAAAUAAACAUGUAAUCGUUGAUGGUACUUGAUGUUCUGAAUUUAAAUGUACAAUUUGUUACUGUCAUAUAUUGUUUAAGCAAUGGAAAAGAGCGUUAUAGCAGUUCAAGAUGGUUUUAAACCUUAUGUAUGGUGUUGAAGCAAACACAGAAUCGAAUUCUGUUAAUGAAAUAAACAUGUCAUCGUUCAUGUAACUUGAUAUCUGGAUUUAAUUGUACAAUUUUUUACGUGAAUAUAUUGUUUAAGCAAUGGAAAGAUUGAAAAGUAUAA